CCUACGGGUGGCAGCAGUGGGGAAUAUUGCGCAAUGGGCGAAAGCCUGAUGCAGUGACGCCGCGUGAGGGAUGAAGGUCUUCGGAUCGUAAACCCCUGUCAGCAGGGAAGAACGGUCAUUGUGCUAAUAAGAAACGAAUUGACGGUACCUGACACGGAAGCACCGGCUAACUCCGUGCCAGCAGCCGCGGUAAUACGGAGGGUGCGAGCGUUAAUCGGAAUUAUUGGGCGUAAAGCGCUCGUAGGCGGUAUGUUAAGUCAAGGGUGAAAGCCCCGCGCUGAACGUGGGAACUGCCUUUGAAACUGGCAAACUGGAGUGUGUGAGAGGAGAGUGGAAUUCCAGGUGUAGGAGUGAAAUCCGUAGAUAUCUGGAGGAACAUCAGUGGCGAAGGCGACUAUCUGGCACAUAACUGACGCUGAGGAGCGAAAGCGUGGGUAGCAAACAGGAUUAGAUACCCUUGUAGUC
rnacentral:rRNA from 1 species